rnacentral:rRNA from 1 species
CCUACGGGAGGCAGCAGUGGGGAAUCUUGCGCAAUGGGGGAAACCCUGAUGCAGCGACGCCGCGUGAGUGAAGAAGUAUUUCGGUACGUAAAGCUCUAUCAGCAGGGAAGAACAUGACGGUACCUGACUAAGCAGCCCCUGCUAACUACUUGCCAGCAGCCGCGGUAAUACGUAGGGGGAAAGCGUUAUCCGGAAUUACUGGGUGUAACGGGAGCGUAGACGGCUGUGCAAGUCUGGAGUGAAAGCCCACGGCUUAACCAUGGAAGGGCUUUGGAAACUGGACAGCUAGAGUGCAGGAGAGGUAAGUGGAAUUCCUAGUGUAGCGGUGAAAUGCGCAGAGAUUAGGAGGAACACCAGUGGCGAAGGCGACUUACUGGACUGUAACUGACGUUGAGGCGCGAAAGCGUGGGGAGCAAACAGGAUUAGAUACCCGGGUAGUC